AUGGAUGAUGCAUUGCUUGAAGUCUUAGUUGAGCAUCACAACAAGGGUGACCAUGCCCAAAAUGGAUGGAAACCACAUGUGUACACGCAUGCCAUAAGGAAUGUGAAGGACAAGUGCAAUAAGGAUAUCACAAAGGAUAACAUAAGUGGAAGGAUGAGCACUUUGGAUCAUCACUAUGAGGUUGUUAGCAAAAUCCUUUCUCAAAGUGGUUCCGGCUGGGAUUGGACCAAUAAUAGGCUAUCAAUGGAUAGUGAUGAUGUUUGGGCUAAAUAUGUGGAGGCUAACAAGGCAAGCAAGGAGAUAAAGUCUUACAAGACCAAAGUAAUCAAGAACUGGGAGUCCAUAUGUAUCGUAUAUUCAAAAGAUCAUGCUAAUGGCGAGGGUGCGAAGGCAGGUGCUGAGAUUGCUGCAGAGCCAUUAGAAGAACCAAUUGAAGUCUCUCCAGAAGUAGUGCCAAAGAGGCAGCAAACAGGUGAUGCUAUUCUUUGCAUGCUUGGAGAUAUGAAGAAGGACUUAGUUGAUGCUUUCAAGACAACUGAGCCCAUUCCCCUACCAAAGGUUACCACACCCGCUGGAAUACUUGAUGCACUUAGGUUG
rnacentral:rRNA from 1 species